CACAAACUGUUGAUUGAGAGUAGUAACGUAAUCAACUUAUGUAAAGAGAGUCGCAGAUGGUGAGAUUGCGACCAUAAGCUUAUUGUGAAUGGACUCAUGAGGGUUUUGCAGAAAUUCAUUGAAGUGUAUGCAAGCCGGGAAUUCCACCCGUUAUCCAUGGAUAGUGUAUGUUUGUACAUUAAAUGAGUGGCGUUUAUUCGCAAUUUGGGUGGUACCGCAGAGAUUACAGUCUUUGUCCUAUAC
rnacentral:ncRNA from 1 species